rnacentral:rRNA from 1 species
AUUGAACGCUGGCGGCAUGCCUUACACAUGCAAGUCGAACGGCAGCACGGAGCUUGCUCUGGUGGCGAGAGGCGAACGGGUGAGUAAUAUAACGGAACGUCCCCCAGAGUGGGGGAUAACGUAGCGAAAGUUACGCUAAUACCGCAUACGAACACAGGAUGAAAGCAGGGGUCCUUCGGGCCGUGUGCUCCUGGUGCGGCCGGUAUCUGAUUAGCUAGUGGGUGGGGUAAAGGCCCACCAAGGCAACGAACAGUAGCUGGUCUGAGGGGACAACCAGCCACACUGGAACUGAGACACGGUCCAGACUCCUACGGGAGGCAGCAGUGGGGAAUUUUGGACAAUGGGGGCAACCCUGAUCCAGCAAUGCCGCGUGAGUGAAGAAGGCCUUCGGGUUGUAAAGCUCUUUUGUCAGGGAAGAAAAGGGAUUGGCUAAUAUCUAGUCCUCAUGACGGUACCUGAAGAAUAAGCACCGGCUAACUACGUGCCAGCCGCCGCCGUAA